rnacentral:rRNA from 1 species
UACGUAGGGGGCAAGCGUUGUCCGGAAUUAUUGGGCGUAAAGAGCGUGUAGGCGGUUCGGUAAGUCGGCUGUGAAAGUCCAGGGCUCAACCCUGGGAUGCCGGUCGAUACUGCAGGACUAGAGUUCGGAAGAGGCGAGUGGAAUUCCCGGUGUAGCGGUGAAAUGCGCAGAUAUCGGGAGGAACACCUAUGGCGAAGGCAGCUCGCUGGGACGUUACUGACGCUGAGACGCGAAAGCGUGGGGAGCAAACAGG